rnacentral:rRNA from 1 species
CUCUAGAGAGACUGCCGGUGACAAACCGGAGGAAGGUGGGGAUGACGUCAAAUCAUCAUGCCCCUUAUGAUUUGGGCUACACACGUGCUACAAUGGAUGGUACAAAGGGCAGCAAAACCGCGAGGUCAAGCAAAUCCCAUAAAACCAUUCUCAGUUCGGAUUGUAGUCUGCAACUCGACUACAUGAAGCUGGAAUCGCUAGUAAUCGUAGAUCAGCAUGCUACGGUGAAUACGUUCCCGGGUCUU